rnacentral:rRNA from 1 species
UACGUAGGGUGCGAGCGUUAAUCGGAAUUACUGGGCGUAAAGGGCGCGUAGGCGGCCAUGCGUGUCUUCCGUGAAAUCCCUCGGCUUAACUGAGGACGUGCGGAAGAAACUGCAAGGCUCGAGUCCGGGAGAGGGGGGUGGAAUUCCCAGUGUAGCGGUGAAAUGCGUAGAUAUUGGGAGGAACACCGGUGGCGAAGGCGGCUCACUGGCCCGGUACUGACGCUGAGGUGCGAAAGCGUGGGGAGCAAACAGG